CUUUACGACCAUAUCACGUUGAAUGCACGCCAUUCCGUCCGAUCUGGCAAGUUAAGCAACGUUGAGGCCAGUUAGUACUUGGAUCGGAGACGGCCUGGGAAUUCUGGAUGUUGUAAGCU
rfam:Caenorhabditis brenneri strain PB2801 C_brenneri-6.0.1_Cont222.5, whole genome shotgun sequence.